AUGCGAUAAGUAGUGUGAAUUGCAGAUUUCAGUGAAUCAUCGAAUCUUUGAACGCACAUUGCGCCCUUUGGUAUUCCGAAGGGCAUGCCUGUCUGAGCGUCAAUAAAUCAAUCAAACUUGGGUUUGGUAUUGGAGGAAGUGGCAGCUAUUGUCACUCUUCUGUAAGCUAUUGGCGACGCUGUUCUAGCUUGUAAGACGUAGUAAGUAAUUCCUCGUCGAAGCAACUGUCCGGCUGCCUGCCAACUGAAUGAUUUAUUUCUACAGCUUGACCUCAGAUCAGGUAGGGAUACCCCCUGAACUUAA
rnacentral:misc_RNA from 1 species